GAAUACUGAGCAACAGUGUUGGCCCAGGCAGAGCCCCUGGAAAGGAAACGAGAACGGUCAUUGGCAUCACACUCACACCUCCCCAGGAGCAGGGGGCACUACUCACGUGAUUCCCAGGUGGAACACGUAGAGGAAGACGCAGUUGGCGAUCACGUUGACGAUGUUGCCGACGAUCCCGCUCAGCACCAGGGGCCACAUGAUCAUCUGCAAACAGGAGGGGACGGGGCUGCAGCAGCUGCGGGGCCAGCCUCGCCAGCCACAAUCCCCGCAGCUUUCAGAGCCAGAGAGGAAACUUCUGAUGUCGUCACCAGCUCGGAAAAUGAACACUUUGAAGGUCACAGGCAGCUCCAGCUCCAUCCCCGUAUCCCACCCCAGCAUCAGUGGGUACCCAGCACCAGGGCAGCCCCGCAGUGUUCUUACCGCUAUGGCCAGCGUGACGGAGG